UACGAAGGGGGCUAGCGUUGUUCGGAAUUACUGGGCGUAAAGCGUGCGCAGGCGGUUCGUUGUGUCGGUGGUGAAAGCCCCGGGCUUAACCUGGGAAUGGCCGUCGAAACUGGCGAACUGGAGUGUGGCAGAGGGGGGUGGAAUUCCGCGUGUAGCAGUGAAAUGCGUAGAGAUGCGGAGGAACACCGAUGGCGAAGGCAGCCCCCUGGGCUGACACUGACGCUCAGGCACGAAAGCGUGGGGAGCAAACAGG
rnacentral:rRNA from 1 species